GGGAGAGAUCGGUCUGCGGGCGCCACCCACAGCCGGCAAAAUGGCGGCGCAACUGCCUGUGGCGAACGCCGCUCUGUCGGGCGCAUGCGCCGCGGGCCGCGCUGACGCCCGCGUUGGGAGGCUGAGGCAGAGCUGGGGGAAAGACAAUCCAUCAUAUCUGAACACUUUGAACAUGUCUCCUGUGCAGCCUUGUUAGUAGUACAUGGUGCAUUAAUGUCCAGGAAGAAGAUGUUUACAUUUAAUCUUUCAGGAUAGAGAAGCUCACUAACUCUUGGCUGGACACCAAAUUCUAGCCCUCAUUUACUUCUAAGUGUUGUACCAACCUGGAAAUAGGUCUAUGCCUUUGGAUUGCCAUGGAGAUGUCAAUUAUUUAGGUGUGUGAAGUCAUGCCACUUUCCAAGAAGCUACUGCAGCAGCAUCCCUGAUGGGGUCUGUGGUUGCUUUUUUAAGCAGCUUAAAAGGGCUGAAGUAUUUUUAAAUGUCUAUAUGAGUGAAUGGCCACAGAAGCUGUAAAAUAUGUACCAAGGUCUGAUGCAAAUGAAUAAUAGCAUUUCCAAAUAAAACUAAAACAUCUGGGCUAGAUUCACAAAAAGGACUUAGGCACCUGCCAUUUUAGGUGCCUAAAUCCAGAAUCAGUCCCUUGUGAGAUUCACAACACCCCACCCACACACACACACUCACACACACACUCAGCUCAGUUGCCACCUAACCCAGCAGGCAGCCAAACUCAUUGCCUACAUUUCUGCAAUAAAAUUCCUUGUGCAAGUGUAUUUCAACCACACACCUGGUGACCGGAUGCCUAAGCCUCGGAGUGAUUCAUGCAUUGGGAAAAGAUAAGCAUUCCUCCACCUAACUGACCCAUGGGCCCUGAGCCAGUAAGAGUGCUCAGACCUUGUCUACUGGAUUGGGCCCCUAUAUGUGAGCUUGCCCAAAACAACUGGGGGUGGUGCCUCUCUCAUAGAACAGUGGAACACCUUCAACAGGUGAGACUGAGGGAGUCUCACAUCAUAAUAUGCCAUAGGGCAGUGGUAAGGGCCUGCACCUGAGCAGUAGCGGAUCCCUAUUAAAGUCACGUUUCCCCACAUGAACGGCAAAUUUCAACUGGGGGUCUUCCACGUCCCAGCUGAAUACCCUACACUAACCACUGGAUUAAGAGUUAUACGGGAAGGCCUCCUCCUGGCUUCCUGCUAAAACAGCAUAAGCACUUAAUGCCAAGACAGGGUUUUCAGAGGGAACUGCCUCCUUGCACACUGGACUUAGUCACCUAUGCCUAAAAAGGGAUGGGGUUUAGCACACAUAUCCUGCAGGUUGGCAUCUCCCACUGCCUGGUUUAGGUGAGGAGCUGCCUAGGGUGCUGACUUUUGUGAAUCCCAUUCUGAGGCACUUAUCUCUUUCCAUUCAUUGUAUAGGGAGCCUAGGCACUUAACUCGGGCUUUGUGAAUCCCAUGAUUUUCUGAGGGCCUAAAAAUUUGGCGUGGCAAUAUUCAGCAUCACCACACAUAAGUUUCUUUGUGAAUCUAGCCCAAGGUGAAUGACUUAGAUUUGUUAUUCUUUGUAAUAAUCUUCCAUAGAUAAGAGAACAAAUGCUGGUGUUGUAUAAGGAAUGGGAGAAAUAAAAAUAAUCUCUUAUUCAAGAACCUUGAAUGGGAAAAAAUCCAUUUAACCAUAGCUACAGAUAUGGAACUAACUGUUGGGUGAAGAGACUAUUUUCUUUUCUAGUGCAGCUGUGCACUACAGCUAAACCUUUACACAAAAGGAUUUCAUACAUCACAAACUCUGGUAGAAGUUCUGCUAUCUUUAUAUAGGCAGAGAUUUGGAAGAGAAAAAAGUACAAAGCAACCACACCAAAAUUGAGGCCAGAGCAGAGGUGCUGGAACAAUUUGUAUAGUGGGGGUGCUGAGAGCAAUUGAAUCAAACUGUAAACGCUAUAUAUAAUGAAAAUCACUUCAAGCCAGGGGGUGCUGCAGCACCCCCGACAUCCCUAGCUCCAGCACCUAUGGGCUAGUCCUAGUGUACUUUUUCCCACUCUUUCUUUGAAAAGGCCUAAUCUAAUCCACAGCAAUCACUGUAUGGUGCUGAUAACAGAGCAGCAGCCACCAGGUGGCAGAAACAACCAAAGGUGGCCCUUAGUGAAAUACUUGACAAUAUACCAGUAUUGCUUCAACAGUUUGACCAAUGAAGCAAUUAAUUCAGCCUGUCCAGUCCUGAAAUACAAGUGCAUAUAUGUAUGGGGGAACUCUAAAGAUCACAUUUGCUCUAUUAGAAAUGUUUUCAGAUAAUUGCUAUAAUUUGUAUUAACACAAACAUCUUGAUUUAUGUACAGAAUGCAGUUCCCUUUGAAAAUAUAUUAUAUAAUACAUUA